GUGUCAGCAGCCGCGGUAAGACAGAGGGUGCAAACGUUGUUCGGAAUUACUGGGCGUAAAGCGAGUGUAGGCGGUUCGAUAAGUCGGAUGUGAAAGCCCCGGGCUCAACCCGGGAAGUGCACUCGAUACUGUCGAGCUAGAGUAUCGGAGAGGUUGGUGGAAUUCUCGGUGUAGAGGUGAAAUUCGUAGAUAUCGAGAGGAACACCGGUGGCGAAGGCGGCCAACUGGACGAAUACUGACGCUGAGACUCGAAAGCGUGGGGAGCAAACAGGAUUAGAUACCCUGGUAGUCCACGCCGUAAACGAUGGGUGCUAGGUGUCGCGGGCUUUGACUCCUGCGGUGCCGUAGCUAACGCAUUAAGCACCCCGCCUGGGAAGUACGGCCGCAAGGCUAAA
rnacentral:rRNA from 1 species